GCUGUUGAAGGCCCACGGGCAUGACUGCACCCCUCACUAAUUGGUCAUUGGUUUGGGGAGGACACCACUGUCCCAGUGGAACCUUGAGCACACCUUGGAGCCCUCCUCUUCCUCUCCGGACCUGUGCCAAACUGCCAUCCUGCAGCCACCAGAACCUUCCACAUGAAAUGAAAGGCUCACCACUUCAUAGGCUUUAAGGAAAUUCUUGGCCAGGUGUGGUGCCUCACUCAUGUAAUCCCAGUGCUUUAAGAGGCCAAGAUGGGAGGAUUGUUUGAGCCAGCUGUUUGAGACCAGCCUGGGCAACGUCAUGA
rnacentral:lncRNA from 10 species